CACAAUUGCAAAAUUGUUUAUUUGUCGACAUUAGCGGAAUUUUGACAAAGUUUUCUCACAUUUGCGAUGGAAACGCAGCUAAAAAUGGAGGAAGAGUUGGCAUAACGUCUGCAGGGCAAA